ensembl:lncRNA
GUUUAUAUCUGGCUGUCCCAGUCCAAGGCUCCUGUGCUCAAAGGUGGGGCUUUUGGAAGGUGAUUGUGAAGUAGAAGAUUACGGCUCGACAAAACCGGGUUGAGCAAGUGGGCAUUGCCUGUCCGUCAUGAAGGCCCAAAACCCAGGUACAGAACCCGGAAUCCAGGAUGACUGAGCAAGCUCCCGGACCCUGUGUGUGGGACUCCGGGACUAAUCAGAAAGGGCUAUCUUCUGUUCUUCCUUUACGUCUGGUAUGAGACCAAACAGACCUUUAACAGGAGCUUAAAUCUGACAUCAGGCCAAGGUUGAACUCUGCAAGGCUCUACUGCAGGUUCCAGCUGCCUUUCCCCUGAAGAUAGUCCAUGUUCCUUCAAAUGGGAGGUGAUGAUCCCUCCAACUUACCAGCUUGGCCCUUCCCUCUUUGCUUCCUGGACACCAUGAGAGCUGUGACCAGCUCUCCUCAAUAUUCUUCCACUAUUCACCUCUGCCAUCCUGCCCUGCUUUGGAGCCAGUCGACUGUGGACUGAAACCUCUACAAACUGUAAGCCAAAAUAAGCCUUUCUUCCUUUGAGUUGCUGGUGUCAGGUAUUGUGUCUUACCAAUGGGAAAAGUGACUAAGACAGAUUUUGGUACCAAGAGUGGGGUUGUUGCUGUGACACUACCUGACCAUGUGGUUCAGAAGCCUUUGGAAGUGACUCACAGGCAGAGUUUGGAAAGGUUUGGAGGUACCAGCUGGAGAAACAACCCUAGAAUGCUGUAAGCCAAAUUAGAUGCAAGAUACUAGUCAGAGCUUAGAAGAUCAGAAUGCUGAUAGAAAUGCAGACUGUAAAUACCAGGCUUAGGAGGUUUCAAUUAGAAGCGAGGACUGGACUGGCAGUUGGCCCCUCAGGCCAUGUGUGUUAUGCUCUGGUGGAAAAUUGGCCUACAUUUUCCCCAUGCACUGAGGGUAUAGGAGUUUGAGAUUGAGGGAGGCAGACUAAUCUGGCAGAGGCAAUUACAAGGCAGUCCAGCAUUCAGGCUGUGGCAUAGGUACUGUUGAAAGCUUUUGGCCAGCUUUAUACUGAAAAUCAAGAGCAAACAGCACAGCUGAAUGUUUUAAAAGUUUUGAGUUUGGUCAGAGAGUAAACUUUUGUUGGAGCCUAAAGAAUGGAGCAGAAAAGAGUUUGUGGUUGCUAAAAAGAUUAACAUUAAAAUGAAACCAAAUACUAUAGAACAAGACACUUCGAAAAAUGGCUUAAGGGCAUGGCAGGAAAGAGCAAGACCCUGUCCGCCCUUCGGAGUCAGCCACAUAGUGCUAGUUUUGCAGGCAUGCUGAAUGCAAGCAUUGCUGAGGGAGGGAGGCUUCCACCCAGGUUUGAGAAGGUGUGGGAGGCCAGGCAUUGUGCCCCUGAGAAGCUGUGAGUGUGAAGCUGAAGGUGCAGUGGAGACCCCAGAAAGUUGGGGAAACCAGGAAGAUGGAUCAUCAGAGGAAAGCUGCAAGGAGGGAGCAGAGCAGGCCUCAGAGAGGCCCUGAGAGCAGUGACCAUCAGCAGUGCCAGAGAGGUGGGGCUGCCCGAGUCUUCGGAGUUCACAGCUGGCCACAGCUUGCCCGGGUACUAGACAGGGAGAUACAGAAUUCAGGGUUUUCCCUGCUGGGUUUCAGUCUGGCUUUGGUCCCAUUGGUUUCUCCCUCCUUGUUCCUCUUUUUCUGGAAUGGGAAUGCUUAGCCUGUGGACUGUGGGUCAGAAGUGUCUAACUUUCUGCAGGGGCUCAUGGCUAAGAGCUUGCCUUGAGUCUCAGGGAGACUUGCACUUUUCAGCAGUGCUGGAAUUGUCAGGACUUCGACAACGCUUAGAGAUGGCCUAAAUGUGUUGUGCAUAAAGAGAUGAGCACGAGUCUUUUGGGGGAGCAGAAGCAGAGGGUUUUGGUUUCUAGCUAGAUGUCCCCCAAAAGCCUCAUUACUCCUAGGUUGGCCUUUCGAAGUGUGAUAGGGUUACGAGGUUUACAGCCAACCCGCUGAGAGGAAGUGGGCCUGGGAAGAGGCAGCUCCCUGGGGUGUGACCCGGAAGGGUUCCUCUCCCUCCCCUGCCCCCACUUCCCUCUCUGGCCCUGGCCGCCAUGCUGUGAGCAGUUCCACCAUAGACCUCUUCCACUGCCCUGUCUUGCAGCCUUGCAGAGGAAGCUGAGCCUGUAUUGGCAGAGGACAAAGGCCUGCCCCUCGCCACACGCUGCCGGGACAGGGAGCAAGCUCCUUUUUGAUCCUGAGACGUUCGUAGUCACAUCACUCUGCAUCUCAGUUUCCGUGUCUGUGGACUAGGGAUAGAGCAACUCCUGUGGCUGCUGUAAUAGACAUACACCCCGUAUAACAAAUUACCACAAACCAGUGGCCUGAAACAACAAAAAUGCGUUCUCUCACAAAUCUGGACCCCUGAAGUCUGGAAUCAGCACCACUACACUAAGACAGAAGCGCUGUGAGGGCCUCAUCUCUCCAGAAGUGUCAGGGGAGAAUCCUGCCCUGUGCAGCUGCCUCUCCUCUGCUUCUCACUCACAAGGACCCCUGUGACAGCAUUUCAGGGCACCUGGAUAGUUCGGGGUAAUCUCCCCGCCUCUAGAUCCUUCACUUACUCACAUCUUCACUGUAAGGGAUUUGGGGUAUCAUUUACUACAGGGGGCAGCCAGAAGGCUCGGGGAGCAUCGGAUGGGUUAGUACUGUACAGUGUACAGGAAGCUGCCCAAGCCUGGGUCAGGCACAGAGGAGUUACUGUGGAAGUGUGGGGUGACGCUACCUCUGGUAACAUUGACAGACAAGAUGGUGAAGAAAGGUCAGACCCAGGGUCUGCAGGCUUCUCCACUCAGUCCCCGAGCUCCUCUACAAAGCCCGCUUCCCGACUCUAGGACUCACUGUGAAGCCGGCCAAAUCAGCAGAGUGCUGAAACACAUGCAAACAGGUGCUCCCCAAAUAUUCAGGCAGCCUCUCGAGUUGUCUGUCCUUUCUUGUGCUUUCCCUUCAUGUUAGCCUGUUGCCACCCCACAUUUUUACAUCAGUCUGCACUGAUACUUUUCUUUCUUUCUUUCUUUCUUUUGCAGUGCUGGGGCUCAAACCAAGGACCUCAGACAUGCUAAGCAAGGCUCUACCACUGAGCUACCUGGUUGGCAUUCUCCACCAAGAGAACCAGAUCCAUUCAUACCGAAUAUCCAUAGUAUUGUGAGAAAGUCAUGACAGGGCUCAAAAGAUGUACAAGGUUGUUUUUUAAACUUGGGAAGUAUAUGUGUGUUAUAUACAAGUGUGUACAUUCAUAAAGCGUUUUCUGCAUCAUUUAGAGCAGGCUAGGUUAUACCAAGGUUAAAUUAUUCACCCAAGAUCAAACGG